AGCCCUUAUGUCAUCUAUUGCCAAUCUUACACAUGCAAGUAUCUGCACACCCGUGAAAACGCCCUCAACCCCUUAACCAAGGAAGAGGAGUUGGUAUCAGGCACAACCAAUAAGCCCACGACACCUAGCCACGCCACACCCACAAGGGUAUUCAGCAGUGAUAAACAUUGUUUAUAAGCGUCAGCUUGAAUCAGUUAAGGCAAAGAGGGCCGGCAAAUCCGGUGCCAGCCGCCGCGGCUACACCGUUAGGCCCAAGUUGACACACACCGGCGUUAAGCGUGAUUAGAGUGAUUACACAGAUUAGAGUUAAACCCAAAUUUAGUCGUGAUACACUUGUCCCCGGGAAACCCAAAAACGAAAGUUACUCUAACCAACCCACUUGACCCCACGACAGCUAAGACACAAACUGGGAUUAGGUACCCCACUAUGCCUAGCCGUAAAACAUAUACUCACCCCAACAAAUCGCCAGGGAAUUACGAGCCCAAGCUUAAAACCCAAAGGACUUGACGGUGUCCCACCCACCUAGAGGAGCCUGUUCUAUAAUCGAUUCCCCCCGAUAAACCUCACCACUUCUAGCCAACUCAGCCUGUAUACCUCCGUCGUAAGCUUACCAUGUGAACGAAACCAGUGAGCCCAAAGAUCCCACAUCAAUACGUCAGGUCAAGGUGCAGCUAACGAACUGGAAAGAAAUGGGCUACAAUUUCUACAAUAGAACAAACGAAAGACUACAUGAAACAUAGUCACUGAAGGCGGAUUUAGCAGUAAAAAGGAAAUAGAGAGUUCUUUUUAACAAGGCGCUGGGACGCGUACACACCGCCCGUCACCCUCUUCAAAUG
rnacentral:ncRNA from 1 species